UAAUUAUAACUAGGAGCUAGAGUAUAACCAUGCACAUGUCGAAGUACAACCAUUGUAUACAAUGGUUGUACUUCGACAUGUGCAUGGUUAUACUCUAGCUCCUAGUUAUAAUUAUAUUGGC
rnacentral:miRNA from 1 species